rnacentral:rRNA from 1 species
AGUGAACGCUGGCGGUAGGCCUAACACAUGCCAGUCGAACGGCAGCACAGUAAGAGCUUGCUCUUACGGGUGGCGAGUGGCGGACGGGUGAGGAAUACAUCGGAAUCUACUUUUUCGUGGGGGAUAACGUAGGGAAAAUUACGCUAAUACCGCAUACGACCUACGGGUGAAAGCAGGGGAUCUUCGGACCUUGCGCGAUUGAAUGAGCCGAUGUCGGAUUAGCUAGUUGGCGGGGUAAAGGCCCACCAAGGCGACGAUCCGUAGCUGGUCUGAGAGGAUGAUCAGCCACACUGGAACUGAGACACGGUCCAGACUCCUACGGGAGGCAGCAGUGGGGAAUAUUGGACAAUGGGCGCAAGCCUGAUCCAGCCAUACCGCGUGGGUGAAGAAGGCCUUCGGGUUGUAAAGCCCUUUUGUUGGGAAAGAAAAGCAGCAGGUUAAUACCCCGCUGUUCUGACGGUACCCAAAGAAUAAGCACCGGCUAACUUCGUG